AGUAAAUGAAGAAUAAGCAUCGACUAACUCCGUGCCAGCAGCCGCGGCAAUACGGAGGGUGCAAGCGUUAUCCGGAUUUACUGGGUUUAAAGGGUGCGUAGGCGGCUCUUUAAGUCAGUGGUGAAAGCCUGGCGCUUAACGCCAGAAUGGCCAUUGAUACUGAAGCGCUUGAGUCAAGAAGAGGUAAGUAGAAUUCAUGGUGUAGCGGUGAAAUGCAUAGAUAUUACGAAGAACAUCAGUGGCGAAGGCGGCCUGCUGGUCUACAACUGACGCUGAGGCACGAAAGCGUGGGGAGCGAACAGGAUUAGAUACCCUGGUAGUCCACGCCGUAAACGAUGAGUGCUAAGUGUUAGGGGGUUUCCGCCCCUUAGUGCUGCAGCUAACGCAUUAAGCACUCCGCCUGGGGAGUACGGCCGCAAG
rnacentral:rRNA from 1 species